rnacentral:rRNA from 1 species
CCUACGGUGGCAGCAGUGGGGAAUAUUGGGCAAUGGACGCAAGUCUGACCCAGCAACGCCGCGUGAAGGAAGAAGGCUUUCGGGUUGUAAACUUCUUUUAAGGGGGAAGAGCAGAAGACGGUACCCCUUGAAUAAGCCACGGCUAACUACGUGCCAGCAGCCGCGGUAAUACGUAGGUGGCAAGCGUUGUCCGGAUUUACUGGGUGUAAAGGGCGUGCAGCCGGAGAGACAAGUCAGAUGUGAAAUCCACGGGCUCAACCCGUGAACUGCAUUUGAAACUGUUUCCCUUGAGUGUCGGAGAGGUAAUCGGAAUUCCUUGUGUAGCGGUGAAAUGCGUAGAUAUCACACAGAACACCGAUUGCGAAGGCAUCUCACGAAUCCGCGAUUGACGCUGAUGCACGAAAGCGUGGGUAUCAAACAGGAUUAGAUACCCUAGUAGUC